rfam:Xenopus tropicalis strain Nigerian Chr04_contig_3307, whole genome shotgun sequence.
GGCAGGCAGAGUAUGGCACACACGGGCAGCACGCUGCCUGCCCUUUGCUGCCUGUGUGUGCCAUACUCUGCCUGCC